rnacentral:lncRNA from 1 species
AAGAAUCUCCAUGAAGCACAACCUAUUAAUCUUACCAAAGGAUCCCCUUGGAUAGUUGUAUUUGUCUCUUGAUAGAGUCUCCUUUGAAUGCGCCUAUUAUAUGCGAUUGGUUAAGUUAUUGCUAUUGAGGAAUCAGGACCUUUAUAAACAAUCCCUACAAACUCCUAGUCUGCUUAGCGCCAGCAUUGCAUAUCAUGGUCAUUCAUAUAUCACGCAUAAAACCA